rnacentral:tRNA from 1 species
ACUUUUAUAGCUUAUUUAGAGCAAUACAUUGAAGAUGUAGGGGUGAUUUUUUUAUCUUUGAGUA